GUGCUCGAUUUGGCAGCACAUAUACUAAAAUCAGAAUGAUACAGAAAAGACUAGCAUGGUCCCUCAGCAAGGAUGGCAUGCAAAUUUGUGAAGCAUUCCACAUUUAA